AUGCUGAAAAAGAACUUUACAGGGCAUAUUCAUGCCUUAGAAAGAUUGAGAGCAUCACCGUCUACUUCUAGCCUGAAUACUGACAUUAAUCUGGCUCUUAUUGAGGUGGUCUUCACGUGCCCAUAUCUGAAUUGGACAGCUACAAGAAUCCAGAUGACAAAGUGGGAGAAAUACACUGCCAGGAUGAAGGAAGAGGAGAAAAGAGGCUUAACCUGGGAGGUAAGGGAGGUUAAAAACAUUUAUCUGGAUAUCAGAGAACAUGGUAGAGUAGACACUUUCAAGAGUCUAUUCCUCCUCAGAAGCACUGGAAUCAGCACUAAACAAUCACAAUAACUUCUAUCACAACCCUAGAAAACAGGUUUACACCAUCCAAGAUGAUGCUGAAUUAAGGAAAGGGUCACUUUAG
rnacentral:lncRNA from 1 species